rnacentral:rRNA from 1 species
CCUACGGGAGGCAGCAGUAGGGAAUUUUCUGCAAUGGGGGCAACCCUGACCGAGCAACGCCGCGUGAGUGAAGAAGGUUUUCGGAUCGUAAAGCUCUGUUGUAAGUCAAGAACGGGUGUGAGAGUGGAAAGUUCACACUGUGACGGUAGCUUACNAGAANNNGACGGUUA